rnacentral:tRNA from 1 species
CGGAAAGUAGCGCAGUUGGUAGCGUACUACGUUCGGGACGUAGGGGUCGGGAGUUCGAAUCUCCUCUUUCCGA